CUGAAAGCUCCAACAGCCCUUUAAAAUGCUUUUUAAUAAAAUUAUUCACGUGGUCAAACCUGUCAGAUAGCAACUUGAUUUUGUUUUUCUAAAAAGCUCUUUCUCAUAAAUCCCACUAGCAUCCUGAUCUAUAGUUUUUGUUAUUAUUAUUUUCUGUUUUCACUAAGGAGGGGUUGGAGUAGAAAUACUUUUACUCUGUCGUGUUCAAACAUAAGAAAAUGAAGUAUUUUUUAAAGGCCUUCUACUGCUGAUCUCAUAGCAACAAAAUUUUGGAAACUAUAGGUUUAACCAUUGAAAGCAGUGUCAUUGUGAAAGACUUUGGGUACAGAUAAGAUAAGCAAGAAGCUGACUCUGCAGGUCUGAGGGAGCUCACUGGGAGAACAGUUUGACCCCAGGACCUGGAAAAGUGUACUGUGUAUAUUGGGAAGCCUCUAAGCCUGCACACUAAAGAUGUUUCCAGGUAGAACCUCUAAAAUUAACCCUCUGUAAAAUUGAACUGUAUUUUACUAAAGACAUUCUCUUUCACAGAAAAAUUUCUACUGAAAUAUUAGUCUUUUUUAUCUUUUUAAUUUUUUUUUGCUGGUUUUGUUAAAUGAAUACAAAUAGUCCAUUGGUUUGGUACUGUUAGAAUAAAAGGCUGAAC
rnacentral:lncRNA from 1 species